ACGUCGGUAGUGCAACAGGUUCAGCACGCGCUCCCGGAAAGAGUGAGGUUUAGGUUUGAAUCCCAGCUGACGCA